UACGUAGGGUGCGAGCGUUAAUCGGAAUUACUGGGCGUAAAGCGUGCGCAGGCGGUGAUGUAAGACAGGUGUGAAAUCCCCGGGCUUAACCUGGGAACUGCAUUUGUGACUGCAUCGCUGGAGUGCGGCAGAGGGGGAUGGAAUUCCGCGUGUAGCAGUGAAAUGCGUAGAUAUGCGGAGGAACACCGAUGGCGAAGGCAAUCCCCUGGGCCUGCACCGACGCUCAUGCACGAAAGCGUGGGGAGCAAACAGG
rnacentral:rRNA from 1 species